rnacentral:tRNA from 1 species
UUCCUAGUGGUCCAGUGCUUAAGACCCUGCAUUUCUACUGCAGGGGUUUUAGGUUCAAUUCCUCCUCAGGAAC